CCAAUUAAUACUGUUCUCUGCACUUGAAGUAUUCCUUCAAUAAAUGGGACAACACAUGGAGAUUACACAAGAAGUAUGUGAUAACACAAAUAAAAUUCCAUGGGAUAACACAUGGUGAUUACAGAAAUAGAGGUGAUAACACAAGUUCAGUUCCAGAAUACAUUAUUUUGAGAAGUGAUAAGCCAGACAGAAGAUAUUAAACAUCUAAAACAUCAUGUUUCAACAUAAUGUAGGAUCACAAACACACAACCAGACUUUCACAUCAUUCUUACAAGAUGGGAUAGACCCAUUUUAUUUUCUAGUCCUUUUCUUUCCUUAAAUUUUUCUUUUUUUAAUAUAAUACCACAUUAAGAUGUUCACCUCUGAUCAACCAGUUAAUGGAUUGCAUGGAAAGACAGAGAUGACCUUAAUGCGUAAGAGCCAAGAAUGAUUUGCCCAGCACCCAAAUGGCGGAAGUCAAUCUCCACACAAAGCCCUGCCAACACAACAGACCUUUUUCAUUUGGAUGCAUCGAGGGAUGGGAUUGGUACAUAGGGCAAGCACCAAGCCCCAAUCCCAUGCCCUUGAUACUAAACUUUCAGGUUGCAACAGUUAUCUGCUGCUGCAACCCACUUAGUGGGCAUAACAAUGCUAUGCCCACUAUCCAUCAUGAUUGAGAAAGAUUGUACUUGUGAUGUAAGGUGAUUGAUUGAACAGUGAUCGAGAUCUCUCCUGGUAUACAUACUUGUGACUUCAGACCCUGAAAGAUUUGAUCCACCACCAUUUGCUUCUUUUGAUGAAUUCAAAGUUCCACUGUCAGAUUGCAAGACUUCAGAACUCUGAGAACCAGUUGGCUGAAAUAUUUUACCACCAGUAGCUUUCUUUGCCUCGAUUUCAUGUAUUCCAUUUUUGGAAGUCUUUGUGUUCAAGAAACGGCCACCAGUUCCCCUUGGUCGUCGCAUUGCAUGAAGAUGGCGUGAAAGGUGCAUGUAAGGCUGUGGAGAAAAAUAAAACUUCAGGAGAGAGGGACCUCCAUUUUCAAGAAGACUAGAAUCUUUCCAGAAUUACAACACACUGUACUUGAUAAAUGAAAUAACCCAGAAUUAUGUACAUGAUGUUAUAGCUUGGAAGUUGAAUUUGGUUGAACAUUCAGACAAGCUUGAGAGUUGAAUCUCAUGUUAACUGUGAAAACCAUAGUAAGUACCCUAAAAUAAAAAUUACUCAACCCAAGUUAUCGUAUGCUGACCAAUCAGAUCAACGACCAUCAAACCCAGGUACUUAUUUAAAAGGCCAUAUCAGGUUUGGUGGUUGAUUUAACAGAGAAGAUUAUGUACUAGAGGGCUAAAACUUGUCAUUUUUUUUCAUUUGAUGUUUGUUAAAGUUGAUAUAAAAUAAAAACUGAACUAAUUUGCAUCUUAGAUGAAGGGAAGAGCAAGGAUUGAGAAAUGGAGUUACCUAGAAGUUCCAAUUUGUGUGGCCACAAAAUAAACCUCAUAUGAUAUGGAAUUUUCUAAUCUAGCAGAAUUACUAGAUUGAGUUGAUAGCCUGAUAGAACAUACCUUGCGUUUUCUUGUUGACUUAUUCUCAAGCAGUACAGCCUUUGCACGGGUUUUUCGACGCCUAAUGAUUCCAUGGUAUUGCUUAGGAUUUACAAAUAUCGGUCCAUCAUCUGUUGUAAUGUUCAUUGGCAGCAUAAUUCGUCCCUAUAUUGUGAUGAUAAAAUAUAUGAAUGAGUUCAAGUUGUUACAUUUCUAGUCAUAAUAGGUUAUUGAUUACAUGUUACCAUGAGCCGGGCACUAAAGAAGAAGAAGAAGAAGCUAUCUGCAGUUGUUAUAUUUCUAGCCAUAAUAGGUUAUUGAUUAUAUAAAUAUAAUUGCAUAAGAUAAAUUUUCACAUAUAGGGCAAGAGAGCUAGAAAGGAAGGGCAUUUACUGAUAUUUGAGGUCCAUAAGUUGAGAAUACUCCAUAACAGUGAUCCAUAUGAGGAUAUUUUGCACAGAUCAUUGGCUGUCCGAAUCCCAGGUCAAUAUGAGAACGAUAUUCUGGCAAAGUUGUUUGCAGAGAGAUGGCUGUCUGAGGAGAUUUUUGUCCUUCAUCUGAAGUUUUGCAGUCACCUGGAAAGAUUGUGAAUUGAGUGGUAUUCCCUUUAUCUAGCCCUUUCUCAGUGCAGCGACUGGCUUGCUUCAUGGCAGUGAGUUGGUCUCCACCAGUUGAUGAUUGUUCUAUUGAAGAAGCCUUGACUAGCCCACAGGAUUCGCCAUAAACAGAUUGAGAUCCAUAAGUAGUCCACCAAGGCACUGAUGGCACCGACGACAGCUGCCCAAUUGGAUUAUGGACAAUUCCUUCAUGUUCUUUGAAAUACAGAGUUUUCACCGCCAUUAAAACCCACCAAAAUGAUCUCAACAAUGGAUUUUAUAGGCUAUAUCUUGAUAGUUCAAAUUAAAUCCUUGCCUAGAAAGAACACCAACAGGAACUAAAAGAUUCAGAUAAAAGAGAAAACUGAAAGAAAUAGUUGAAGAUUGAAGAUGCAGAGUUCACGUAACAGUAGCAGAGAAGAAGCAGCUUCAAGUCUUACAGAAACAGAAGCAGAGACAAACCCCAUUUGUUAGGAGCCAUGUCGGCAUAAUUUCAAGCUGGAAACAGA
rnacentral:misc_RNA from 1 species